AUUGAACGCUGGCGGCAGGCCUAACACAUGCAAGUCGAACGAGUGGCGGACGGGUGAGUAAUGUCUGGGAAACUGCCUGAUGGAGGGGGAUAACUACUGGAAACGGUAGCUAAUACCGCAUACCAUCGGAUGUGCCCAGAUGGGAUUAGCUAGUAGGGGGGGUAACGGCUCACCUAGGCGACGCUCCCUAGCUGGUCUGAGAGGAUGACCAGCCAACACUGAACUUGGACAAGGGCCAGAAGUCCAAGGGAGGGAGCAGUUGGGAAUAUUGGACCACGGGCGCAAGCCUGACGGAGGCACGGCGAGUUGAUGAAGGAGGCCUUCGGGUUGUAAAGUACUUUCAGCGGGGAGGCGUUACCCGCAGAAGAAGCACCGGCUAACUCCGUGCCAGCAGCCGCGGUAAUUC
rnacentral:rRNA from 1 species